rnacentral:rRNA from 1 species
AUGGAGUACCAGCCCAUCAUCUCAGCGCUUGAUGCAAGAACGGAGCCGGUAUCGGUCGACAUCCUCUUCUCCAUGGUGGCAAAUUUCGACCAGCGAGUCGAGAUGUUCCAUGGUACAAACGUCGGAUCCUUCAAAUCAUCGGCGAAUACUGCAUCUCGUGGUCGCCAGGGAAACACCAAAACCUACCAAAACCAGCGGAGUGGUGGAGGUGGUGGUGGAUCCCGUGGUGGUGGCGGCCAGUACGGAGGCGGUGGCGGCGGACAGUACGGUGGUGGCGGUGGCUACCACAACGGCGGCAACAAUCAGGGCAGUGGCGGUGGCUACCACCCAAACAACAGUGGUGGCGGCUAUCCUGGUGGGGGUGGCGGCUACUACCAGGGCAACCCUCGUGGUGGAAACAACAGCCCCCCCCCGGCAACAACAAUCGGGGGCGCAAUUUCCAGGGCUACGAAGGAUACGAAGGGAAGUGCCAAAUCUGUAAAAAAAACACAUAGGUAA